UACGAACCGGACGAACGUUAUUCGGAAUCACUGGGCUUAAAGGGUGCGUAGGCGGCCGCAUAAGUCGGGUGUGAAAUCCCUCGGCUCAACCGAGGAAUUGCGCCUGAUACUGCGCGGCUAGAGGGAGACAGAGGCGAGCGGAACUGAUGGUGGAGCGGUGAAAUGCGUUGAUAUCAUCAGGAACACCGGUGGCGAAGGCGGCUCGCUGGGUCUCUUCUGACGCUCAGGCACGAAAGCUAGGGUAGCGAACAGG
rnacentral:rRNA from 1 species